rnacentral:rRNA from 1 species
CCUACGGGUGGCAGCAGUAGGGAAUCUUCCACAAUGGGCGAAAGCCUGAUGGAGCAACGCCGCGUGGGUGAAGAAGGUCUUCGGAUCGUAAAACCCUGUUGUUAGAGAAGAAAGUGCGCGAGAGUAACUGUUCACGUUUCGACGGUAUCUAACCAGAAAGCCACGGCUAACUACGUGCCAGCAGCCGCGGUAAUACGUAGGUGUCAAGCGUUAUCCGGAUUUAUUGGGCGUACAGGGAGCGCAGGCGGUCUUUUAAGUCUGAUGUGAAAGCCUUCGGCUUAACCGGAGUAGGGCAUUGGAAACUGGGAGACGUGAGUGCAGAAGAGGAGAGUGGAACUCCAUGUGUAGCGGUGAAAUGCGUAGAUAUAUGGAAGAACACCAGUGGCGAAAGCGGCUCUCUGGUCUGUAACUGACGCUGAGGUUCGAAAGCGUGGGUAGCAAACAGGAUUAGAUACCCUGGUAGUC